GGGCACAUCCAUGAAUAUCACAGUUGCAAUAGUAAAGGACAGCACGUCAAAGAAUUGUAAAACUGGUAUCAUUGCCUCUGCUGCCUUGUUUAUUCUCAUUGUUGGAGGGCUUGUGUUGUUUGUCUUCCUGGGUCGUUAAAGAGAAGAAAAGAAAACCGUCCUCACGGAUCACAUUUCCAUUAAUCUCCUCCUUCCAAACAUCCUCUGAUCAAAAGGACUUGAAGUGAGAUGAAGAGAACAUUGCCAAACGUCGUUCCAAGGAAUUAAGGGCGGCACGGUGGCGCAGCGGUAGAGUUGCUGCCUUACAGCGCCAGAGACCCGGGUUCGAUCCUGACCGCGGUUCUGUCUGUACGGAAUUUGUACGCGCUCCACGUUACUGCGUGGGUUAUUGCCAGAAUCUCUGGUUUCCUCCCACAUUCUAAAGACGUACAGGUUUGUAGGUUAAUUGACUUGGUGUAAUUGUAAAAGUAAUUGUAAAUGUGUGCGCGGGAUAGCGUAAGUGUGCGAGGAUCACUGGUCGGUGUGGAUUGGGUGGGCCCGAAGGGCCUGGUUCCAUGCUGUAUCUCUAAACUAAACUAAACUAAACUAAAUAACUAACGGAGCCACAACCUUCCAUCAAGCUCCUCGUGAGAUGAUGUGCCAGAGAGAGAGGAUUAGACUCCUUCACUCAGAUCAAUGUCAGAAACUGGCGAGAUCAGACAAAUAUUUCAGCCAUCUUGUGGGGAACAUUACAGGUUUGGAGGGAUAUGGACCAAACACAGGCAGGUGGGACGAGUGUAGCUGGGACAUGUUGGCUGGUGUGGGCAAGUUGGGUUGAAGGGCUUGUUUCCACACUGUAUCACUCUAUGAUUCUGUGACCUAUUAAUGAAAAGAUAUAUUAUCAGGAUGUAUCAACAGGAUUUAUGAUCUUCCAUUGGUAACCAUUAAUAUUAGUCCAUGUCCAAGGAAGGGUGAAAUAUUUUGACAUGUGCUGCACAGUGGCGCAGCGGUAGAAUUGCUGCCUUGCAUCACCGAAGACCCAGGUUCGAUCCCGACUCUAGGUGCUGGCUGUAUGAAGUUUGUACGUUUUCCCUGUGACUGCAUGGGUUUUCUCCGAUAUCUUCGGUUUCGGUGCGUAGGAUAGUGUUAAUGUGCAGGGAUCGUUGGUCGGUCUGGACUCAGUGGGCCCGAGGGCCCUUUUCCAUGCAAUAUCUCUAAACUAAACUAAACUAAACCUGAUGUUGCCAGGACUUGAGGGCCUGAGGUACAGGGAGAGGUUGAGCAGGUUAGGACUUUAUUCCUUGAAGCGCAGGAGGCUGAGUGGUGAUCUAAUAGAGAUGUAUAAAAUCACAAGGGGAAUUGAUAGGACGAAUGCAAAGAGCCGUUUACCCAGAGUAGGGGAAUCACGAACCAGAGGGCAUAGGUUUAAGGUGAGUGGGGCAAGAUUUAAUGGGAACCUGAGGGGCAACUUUUUCCCACAGAUGGCGGUAGGUAUACAAUACGAGCUUCAGAGGAGGUAGUUGAGGCAGGUACAAUUAAAUCAUUUUUUAAAGACAAUUUGGGCGGGUAGAGGGAUAGGAAAGGUUUAGAUAUGGGACAAAUGUGGGCAGGUGCAACUGGCUUAAAUGGGGCAUCUUGAUCGGAAUGAACAAGUUGGGCCUAAGGGUCUGUUUCCAUGACUACAACUCCAUCUGUAUGUACGAUGCUUGCAUUAUACAUAAUAUUUAACAACAAUAAUAGUGCCAAAUAGGUUUAAUCUAAUGCACAUCAUAGGGAUGUGGUUAUAAGUUUGAACAUUUAUGAUACUUAUUUUUGAGAAAGCAGGGUGGAGUGUCACUCUGGGUGUAAAUUGUUGUCCAACAAAGGCAGGACUGUGCUCAAGUUUAAAAGAAUGAGGUUAUGAUUAAGAUGUUUCAGAAAGAACUGCGGAUGCCGGAAAAAUCAAAGGUAGACAAAAAUGCUGGAGAAACUCAGCGGAUGAGGCAACAUCUAUGGAGCAAAGGAAUAGGUGAUGUAUCAGGUCGAGACCCUUCGUCAGAAUUCUUCAGACUGAAGACGCGUCUCGACCCAAAACGUCACCUAAUCCUUUGCUCCAUAGAUGCUGCCUCACCCGCUGAGUUUCUCCAGCAUUUUUGUCCACCUUAUGAUUAAGAUGAGAAUGUGGUGAUUUCAAUCAGACAUUGAGGCAAAGGGUCACAUUAGGGGAAGAAGUUUAGUUUAGUUUAGUUUAUUAAUUAAAUUAAAUUAAUUUUUGUAGUUUAGUUUAGUUUAGUUUAAUUUAAUUGAAUUUAGUUUAGUUUCAUUGAGUUUUGUUCAGCACAGUUUAGUUUAAUUAAAUAAAGUUUAAUUGUUAUGCCCAGAUAAAGCUGGGCAUAACGAUGUAAUUAAAGUACAUUCAACCAUUUGAACAAUGUCAUUUAUUUAUUUCAUGCCAAAUACGUGUUCUAAGACCAUGAAUCUGAAUAGCAAUUGUUCAAUCUAAUACUAGUUGGUGCUUCUCUCCAAGUGUUUUGUCCUGCACAAUGUGAAAUGUUAUCAAAGUGUUUUUGAAAUAAAAGAUUUGAUCUUGACAAAAGCCGAGUUAUUCUUGCAGUUUCCAUCCAAGAUGCUGCUAGGUAUUGGUUUAUUAUUGUUACAUGUACCGAGAUACAUGUGAACAACUUUGCUUGCCUGCUAUCCAGUCGAAUCUGUGGCGCAGCGGUAGAGUUACUGCCUUACAGUGGCAGAUACCCAGGUUCGUUCCUGACUAUGGGCGCUGCCUGCACAGAGUUUGUACGUUCUCCCUGUGACCUGCGUGGGUUUUCUCCGGGUGCUCCGGUUUCCUCCCACACUCCAAAGACGCGCAGGUUUGUAGGUUCAUUGGAAAAUAUGAGAUGCUAUUCUCCAAUUUGUGUUGGGCCUCACUCUGACAGUGGAGGAGGCCCAGGACAGAAUGGUCAGCGUGGGAAUGGGAGGGGGAGUUAAAGUGUUUGGCAAAUAAUAGCUUAUUUGAAGAUAAGGAAGUGUUCUGGUGUGAAUCCAUGGGUUGGAAACAUGAGACUGCAGGAAGCAAUUCAAAAAUAAUUAAAGCCCAGCAUGAGAUGAACUUGGACAGACUUGAAAACACUUCUCACUAAAAGCCUUGCUUCAGAAAGGACCAGAAUAUCAGGCUGGCCAAUAGAGAAGGCAGCAUGAGAUGUUUAGUUCAGUUCAGUUUAGAGAUACAGCAUGGAAACAGGCACUUUGGCCCACUGAGUCCACACUGACCAAAGAUCCCCACACAAUAACACUGUCCUACACGCAUUAGGGACAAUUUACCAUUAUACCGAGACAAUGAACCUACAAACCUGUACGUCUUUGGAGUGUGGGAGGCAGCAACUCUACCAGGCGCAUCACCGUUCCGCCACUUGUGCUUGUAUAAAACAGAGCGGCA